GGAUGGUUGGCUGAGCGGUCUAUAGCAGCUGUUUACUAAACAGCCGAGCCGGAAACGGCUCCGGGGGUUCGAAUCCCUCACCAUCCGCCA
rnacentral:tRNA from 1 species